GCUCAGGAUGAACGCUGGCGGCGUGCUUAACACAUGCAAGUCGAACGAAGCACUUUAUUUGAUUUCCUUCGGGACUGAUUAUUUUGUGACUGAGUGGCGGACGGGUGAGUAACGCGUGGGUAACCUGCCUUGUACAGGGGGAUAACAGUUGGAAACGGCUGCUAAUACCGCAUAAGCGCACGGCAUCGCAUGAUGCAGUGUGAAAAACUCCGGUGGUAUAAGAUGGACCCGCGUUGGAUUAGCUAGUUGGUGAGGUAACGGCCCACCAAGGCGACGAUCCAUAGCCGACCUGAGAGGGUGACCGGCCACAUUGGGACUGAGACACGGCCCAAACUCCUACGGGAGGCAGCAGUA
rnacentral:rRNA from 1 species